CUCCAUCUACACCCUUUUCUCAACUAACACCAAUAUAUUUCCACGCCUCUUCCUUGCCGCUCGAUUCCUCCGCCGAUUAUCGCCGCCGGAAUAAGGUUUCUCCGAUCUUCGCCAUUUUCAUCGCAGCGUUGGGUUCCUUAAACGCUUCGUCAUUAUCAUCCAGGAAAUGCAUUAAGAGGUAUCUCUGGUGGACAAAUGGAAUGUGUUACAACAGGUGUUGAAGAAUAAAUUAUCUGUUUAUGAUUUGUGGCUGUAUUGAAUUUGGUUGAAACUUGGAAACAUUGUUAGGAUUUUUAUUAUAUUUCUGUACUAUUGUUCUUUUUGGUGAAUUUCUGAACUGUUUUACGGUGGUGCUAUUUGAUUGCAGUGAUAUUACAAAACUUUUACUAUUUUUAUGUCUUUACUGGUACAAAAUAGGUA